GAGGAUGUAGCUCAGUGGUAGAGCGCAUGCUUUGCAUGCAUGAGGCCUUGGGUUCAAGUCCCAGCAUCUCCA